UACGGGGGGGGGCAAGCGUUGUUCGGAAUUACUGGGCGUAAAGGGCUCGUAGGCGGCCAACUAAGUCGGACGUGAAAUCCCCAGGCUUAACUUGGGAACUGCGUCCGAUACUGGAUGGCUUGAAUCCGGGAGAGGGAUGCGGAAUUCCAGGUGUAGCGGUGAAAUGCGUAGAUAUCUGGAGGAACACCGGUGGCGAAGGCGGCAUCCUGGACCGGUAUUGACGCUGAGUGAGCGAAAGCCAGGGGAGCAAACGGG
rnacentral:rRNA from 1 species